rnacentral:misc_RNA from 1 species
UCCCGGUUGGCCCGGGCAGUCUCGCCUGAAAUAUACAACAGACGACAAGGGUUGCGCUCGUUGCGGGACUUAACCCAACAUCUCACGACACGAGCUGACGACGGCCAUGCAGCACCUGUCACUAGGUUCCCGAAGGCACUCCACUGUUUCCAGCGGAUUCCUAGGAUGUCAAGCCUCGGUAAGGUUCUUCGCGUAGCGUCGAAUUAAACCCCAUGCUCCACCGCUUGUGCGGGUCCCCGUCAAUUCCUUUGAGUUUUAAGCUUGCGCUCGUACUCCCCAGGCGGCAUACUUAUCGCGUUAGCUUCUCAGCCCAAGGGGUCGAUACCUCAGACUAAUAGUAUGCAUCGUUUACGGCGUGGACUAC